UACGUAGGUGGCAAGCGUUAUCCGGAUUUACUGGGUGUAAAGGGCGUGUAGGCGGGAAGGCAAGUCAGAUGUGAAAACUAUGGGCUCAACCCAUAGCCUGCAUUUGAAACUGCUUUUCUUGAGUGUCGGAGAGGUAAUCGGAAUUCCGUGUGUAGCGGUGAAAUGCGUAGAUAUACGGAGGAACACCAGUGGCGAAGGCGGAUUACUGGACGAUAACUGACGCUGAGGCGCGAAAGCGUGGGGAGCAAACAGGAUUAGAUACCCGUGUA
rnacentral:rRNA from 1 species